rnacentral:rRNA from 1 species
GGCGAGGCCGAAAGGCGUAGUCGAUGGGAAAAUGGUUAAUAUUCCAUUACUUCUGUGUAAUGCGAUGAGAGGACGGAGAAGGCUAAAUCAGCCUGGCGUUGGUUGUCCAGGUGAAAGGAUGUAGGCAUGUAUCUUAGGCAAAUCCGGGGUACUCUAUGCUGAGAUCUGAUAGCAAGCUGUACUUGUACAGCGAAGUGGUUGAUGCCAUGCUUCCAGGAAAAGUCUCUAAGCUUCAGUUACACAGGAAUCGUACCCGAAACCGACACAGGUGGUCAGGUCGAGUAGACCAAGGCGCUUGAGAGAACUCUGCUGAAGGAACUAGGCAAAAUGGUACCGUAACUUCGGGAGAAGGUACGCUGUUGUUGGUGAUGGAACUCGCUUCCUGAGCUGACGACAGCCGCAGAAACCAGGCCGCUGCAACUGUUUAUUAAAAACAUAGCACUCUGCAAACACGAAAGUGGACGUAUAGGGUGUGAUGCCUGCCCGGUGCUGGAAGGUUAAUUGAUGGGGUUAGCGUAAGCGAAGCUCUUGAUCGAAGCCCCAGUAAACGGCGGCCGUAACUAUAACGGUCCUAAGGUAGCGAAAUUCCUUGUCGGGUAAGUUCCGACCUGCACGAAUGGCAUAAUGAUGGCGGCGCUGUCUCCAGCAGAGGCUCAGUGAAAUCGAAAUCGCUGUGAAGAUGCAGUGUACCCGCGGCUAGACGGAAAGACCCCGUGAACCUUUACUGCAGCUUGACACUGAACUUUGACCUUACUUGUGUAGGAUAGGUGGGAGGCUUUGAAGCUGGAACGCUAGUUCCAGUGGAGCCGUCCUUGAAAUACCACCCUGGUAAUGUUGAGGUUCUAACUCUGUCCCGUGAUCCGGGACGAGGACCGUGUCUGGUGGGUAGUUUGACUGGGGCGGUCUCCUCCUAAAGAGUAACGGAGGAGUACGAAGGUGCGCUCAGCGUGGUCGGAAAUCACGCGUAGAGUAUAAAGGCAAAAGCGCGCUUAACUGCGAGACCCACAAGUCGAGCAGGUACGAAAGUAGGUCUUAGUGAUCCGGUGGUUCUGUAUGGAAGGGCCAUCGCUCAACGGAUAAAAGGUACUCUGGGGAUAACAGGCUGAUACCGCCCAAGAGUUCAUAUCGACGGCGGUGUUUGGCACCUCGAUGUCGGCUCAUCUCAUCCUGGGGCUGAAGCAGGUCCCAAGGGUAUGGCUGUUCGCCAUUUAAAGAGGUACGCGAGCUGGGUUUAGAACGUCGUGAGACAGUUCGGUCCCUAUCUACCGUGGGCGCUGGAAAUUUGAGAGGAUCUGCUCCUAGUACGAGAGGACCAGAGUGGACGAACCUCUGGUGUACCGGUUGUGACGCCAGUCGCAUCGCCGGGUAGCUAUGUUCGGAAGGGAUAACCGCUGAAAGCAUCUAAGCGGGAAGCCUACCUCAAGAUAAGAUUUCCCUAGGACUUUAUGUCCUCUAAAGAGCCGUUCGAGACUAGGACGUUGAUAGGUUGGAUGUGGAAGCAUAGUGAUAUGUGAAGCUGACCAAUACUAAUUGCUCGUGAGGCUUGACUAU